rnacentral:rRNA from 1 species
UCCUACGGGGCGCAGCAGUGAGGAACAUUGGUCAAUGGUCGGGAGACUGAACCAGCCAAGCCGCGUGAGGGAUGAAGGUACAGAGUAUCGUAAACCUCUUUUGUCAGGGAACAAAGGCGGGGACGUGUCCCCGGAUGAGUGUACCUGAAGAAAAAGCAUCGGCUAACUCCGUGCCAGCAGCCGCGGUAAUACGGAGGAUGCGAGCGUUAUCCGGAUUUAUUGGGUUUAAAGGGUGCGCAGGCGGUCUGUUAAGUCAGCGGUCAAAGCCCGGGGCUCAACCCCGGCCCGCCGUUGAGACUGGCAGU